rnacentral:lncRNA from 1 species
GAGGAAUAGCAAGAUGGACAAUAUUACUAUGGACCAUAAAGUUGUGAAGAUUGGAUUUGGCUAUCUCCUGAUUGUAACAAUGAAGGAUACAACGACAAAAAAAAAAGAAACAAUCUUUGUCCUCAAGAUGCUUAUACUCUAUGACAAUAUCAAUUGGAUGAUCAACAGUAUCAAAGGUUGCAAGAGAGGCUGAUAAGAAUGCAGGCUGAAAAAAACCACAAUGGAUAAGGUUCAACAUGAAACUUAAAUGACAUGAGGCAGCCUCAGUUGCUGGAAGCUGAGCUAGAUUUAAUCUGCUGGGAAGGUCUCUUGGCUGAGGCCUCUGAACUCCCCCUGGCUCAGACCAGGCUGGAGUGGAUCUUCAUUCCUUUCUCUCUCUCUCCCUCUUUCAUUAUUUUUUCCUUCUAUUGUAAAUAAACUGCCACAAAAUUCCA